AUUGAACGCUGGCGGCGUGCCUAACACAUGCAAGUCGAGCGGCAGCGCGGGAGCAAUCCUGGCGGCGAGCGGCGGACGGGUGAGUAAUGCUUGGGAAUCUGCCUGUUAGUGGGGGACAACCCGGGGAAACUCGGGCUAAUACCGCAUACGCACUACGGUGGAAAGCCGGGGACCGCAAGGCCUGGCGCUAACAGAUGAGCCCAAGUCGGAUUAGCUAGUUGGUAGGGUAACGGCCACCAAGGCGACGAUCCGUAACUGGUCUGAGAGGACGACCAGUCACACCGGAACUGAGACACGGUCCGGACUCCGUACGGGAGGCAGCAGGUGGGGAAUAUUGG
rnacentral:rRNA from 1 species